rnacentral:lncRNA from 1 species
UAUAAAGUCCCUAGCAGAAAAUACAAGUCCUCCACCAUUGCCUGCAUCCCCUACAGUCGUGUUCUAUUCUAACGCAAUUGACUGUGUGCUUUCCCUGAACUCAUUCUAUGCUUUCAUCCCUUCUUGUCUUUUUUGUACCAAAUCUUCUCAAAAUUCCUUUCUCUUCUUUUUUCACCUCAACGCCUAUUCCCACCUCAAGGCCCAGCUCAAAUGUUACCACUUCUGUUAAGUCUCCUCUCGCAUGAUUCCUGGCGGAGUCUUUCGUUGCUUUCUUUGUGCAUCUGCAGCGUGGUCUUCAUGUUUGUCUAACAGCGAGUGCACCACAUUGUUUUUCAGCUGCCCUCUUACUAGACUGUGAAUGUUGAGAGCAAGAACAGUUAGCAAAUCAGCACAUUUAUUGAGAAAAAUCCUCCUAUUUGUGAGGCAUUGUGCUGGGGAUCAGAGCAGCAGCAGGGAAUGACUGAGGCUGGCGUCCAACAGCAUCUGUUGGGGUAGACAGAUGUGCAGCAAAUUAAUUUAGCAAGUAGUCGUUUAAAUACAUUUGUGAUAAGUGGGACAAAGGAAAAACAUGGGAUGCUAUGAGAACAAGGAACAGGGAAAUCCACCUGCACCUGAUGGGGCUGAGACAGCUUCCCUGGAGAAAAGACCUUUAAACCAAGAAAGAGAAGAGUUAACCAGGUGAAGAAUGCGGCGAGGAGAGAUACCAGGCAGAAGGAAUAACGCGUGAGGACGCCCUGCCAUAAGAAAGCCUGAAAUCCUGGAAGACCUGAAAUAAAACAAACAAACUUGAAUACAGACACAACAUGGGCGUGAGGCAUGGUGAGGAAAGGGAAGAUGGCUGUCAGAUGACGCUCUGGAUACCAGUUAGUGACUACAGAAUCGAUUUAUGAAAGAAGGAGCUCCCUCCUUAACAUGAAGAGCCACCCACACAGGGAGCAGCACCCUACCUGGCUUGCUGUCCCAGCCCCAGAACAGAUGGAUUCUGUUUCGGUUCCCAGCCAAUGGGAUGGCAGGCUUUCACUUUGAGUCACUGAAGACUGCGCCCACCUCACAAGUCUGCGGGCGGCCCUGGACUUGGCUUAGGCUGGGUCUACUGCCCGUGUGAGAACAGCACCACAUCUUCAAUUACAAGUUUGUGGAACAAUUUGCUCUGGGAAUAAAGAAGGAUGAUUUCCCUGCAGUUGGAGACGGACAGCGUCAGCAAAGAGUGCUGGAGUCCCAGAAACGGCUGGGAACUGGGAUGGCUUGUCUUGGGGAAGCUUCUCUCACUGCCCUCCUGCAGCCCAGCAUCCUGAGGACCCUGCUUGCCGUCCCAGGGAGGCUGUUUCUCAGAGCAUGGGAAAAGGAUUUCCUCGCUCAGGAGGGGAGCUUCUUCCCCAGACAGCUUCUGUCUGAGUCUGCCCCUGGCUGUGAAUGUCAGCAGAGCAGUGGGACCAGGCCACCUUGACCUGCACGCCAGCAUCACUGUCUCCAGAAGAACCGCCCUGCAUGUGCAUAUCAGUUCAUACAAUAGAAGUGUCAAUGAGGAAGAUUUAUCAUUUUCUCUCUGUUGGACGAACCGUGACCCUACAUGAUGAUCACUUCACAAAGAGAUCAAGUUAAACACUGCAUACUAUGUGUCCUUCACCGCUCAGAGCAUGGAAAAUGUGUGGCUUGGUAUAUAAAUUAAGGUAACCCUAAGUGCUGUUAAUGACUCUAAAAUUUCUGAGGCUUGACACAAGAGAAGUUUAUUUCUUGCCCAGGCACAGUCUAAUUGGCUAUGGGAAUAGGACUACUCUGCUCCACACAGUUAUUCAGGUACCUAGGCUGAGAGAGGUUCUGCUGUGUUCAACAUGUAACUUCCCAAGUCAUCCUGGAUGUCGCCAUCCCACUGGAAGGUGGAGGAAGAGGGAGAAUGGUGAGUCAUCCCUGGGGAGCUUUUAUGGGCCAAGCCAGGAAGUGAUGCCCAUGAUCCCUCCCAUGUCAUUGGCUAGAGCUCAGUCACAUAGUCACACCUAACUGCAAGGAAGGCUGGGUAAUGUAGCCCAACUGUGGGCCCAGGAAGAAGAGGGAAUGGGUUCUGGCAACCACAAAGCAGUCUUGGCCACCAGAGGAAAUUUUGUAUGAAACUGGAAAUCAGUGAUGCUAAAGAGACUUGAUGCUAGUGAGAGGGAAGCUAAUAUUGAAUGCCAUAUUCAGAGCAAAUACAAACUUGAUUAUUUAUAAGGUCAUACAGAACUACCUACCUAUCCCUGAUGUGGUGGAAAAUGCAUUGAUCUUGAAGACACGAAAGAUGCCCGCCAGCUCUGGGCCCAUGGCAAAUCAGUCCUCUGAACAUUACGUGCCUCCUCAGCCAAAUAGAGGAGCUGGAGCAGCUUCAGGAGUCUGCGAGUUCACAUACAGCGUCUAAGGACACGAGAGGACAGCAGUCGGACCAGGAAGGGACCCUCUCGUGACCACCACAUUCUCAUCACAAAAGAUUUUGAUCAUCAGUCAGACCUGGGAGAAUGGUGACCUUGAUCCUCACGAUCUACUGUGCAAUGGAAGUCACCGAAUGGAUUUUUUUUCAGGAGUAACACGCCUGGAAUACAGCCACCUCUGUUCUACUACUGACCAAACUUGAGCCAUCUUUCUGGGCCCAGGUGAAAUUCACCUAUCUAUCACUCAGAGAAUAGUCAGUGUGCACCAUCCACAUACGCUGUGCUGGGCAGUAGGUACACGGAUGACUCAGGCCUGGUCCUGGCCCUCAGAGAGCUGGCUGUCCACUGGAAAAGGAGACAACACCACACGAGGCUGGUGAGUCUUUCUAUCGUAAGAUGGGGUGGAAGAAACAUAGCUGUGACUCAUCCCAUGCUGAAAAUGUGAAGAUUCCAAGACAAGAAGAGGCUGUGGGAAGCCCCAUAGCACAGCAAGAAAAGACAGGCCAAAACUUUGGGAGUGAGAAGAGAGGAGAGCCUGCUGCCCGGAAGAGAGAAAAGAGGGUAUAUAUUGAGAGAGAGUGAAGGGGAUCCACAUAGUACACUUUUGAUCACUCAAGGAGCAUUCACAGGGGGAUACCCUUAGAAGCAGUAGGGCUCCACACCUGCAUAUAGGGCAAGAAGAACAAUGAGGCAGAGACUGCAUCUGACUUCCCACCCCUCACCACAACUCUCUGAAGUCUAACACUGAGAACUUCCUUCAAGUUGUGGGUAUGUGUCCCCUUGGACCAACCACCCACAUCGUGAUAACUAGGUUAUACCUAAGACAUUUUUAGUGAGGACUUUAGGAAGCCCUGGGAAGGUAUCUCUUUUGUUAAGAGAGGAAUCCAGAGAGAUUUGGCAGAUGUGCUGUAAUGAAGUACAUGCACUGAGCAGAUGCUCCAAGGUCACCUACUUGUCCUGCAGAGUCAUAUGGCUCUAUUUUGGGUUUAGAAGGUGGAAACAUUAAUAUCAUGUCAUUUGUAUCUACUGUUAUGUAACAAAUUAAAAA